CGAUCAGUAGCCGACCUGAGAGGGUGACCGGCCACAUUGGGACUGAGACACGGCCCAGACUCCUACGGGAGGCAGCAGUGGGGAAUAUUGCACAAUGGAGGAAACUCUGAUGCAGCGACGCCGCGUGAGUGAAGAAGUAAUUCGUUAUGUAAAGCUCUAUCAGCAGGGAAGAUAGUGACGGUACCUGACUAAGAAGCUCCGGCUAAAUACGUGCCAGCAGCCGCGGUAAUACGUAUGGAGCAAGCGUUAUCCGGAUUUACUGGGUGUAAAGGGAGUGUAGGUGGCCAUGCAAGUCAGAAGUGAAAAUCCGGGGCUCAACCCCGGAACUGCUUUUGAAACUGUAAGGCUAGAGUGCAGGAGGGGUGAGUGGAAUUCCUAGUGUAGCGGUGAAAUGCGUAGAUAUUAGGAGGAACACCAGUGGCGAAGGCGGCUCACUGGACUGUAACUGACACUGAGGCUCGAAAGCGUGGGGAG
rnacentral:rRNA from 1 species